rnacentral:tRNA from 2 species
GGUUCAAUAGUGUAAUGGUUAUCAUGUCUGGUUUACAUGCAGAAGGUCCUGGAUUCAAGCCCCAGUGGAACCA